CGACAGUGUCUCAGAAAUGAGUGUGGAAAGCCCCUCACCAGUGCUUCUUUCCAUGGAUGUAUGCCAUGAAUUGUAUCCGAUAAAAAUAAAUUGUAGAUUCCCAGCACGUUUAGGCACUAAGGGAACCUCUAAUUGCACGGUGGUCAGAGAAUCAGGCACUUCCUCCCAGCAAGGGCAUUUUUCUACUGAAAAUGUAAGUGUAGACAGUGUACAAGUUGUGAAGCAGGACCCUGAUUGGUUGGAAAAGAAGAAACGUCGUAGGAAACCUGCAAGGAGAAUAAUCUCAUUGUCUGAAGAACAUAUGGAAG
rnacentral:misc_RNA from 1 species